rnacentral:tRNA from 1 species
GCGCCCAUAGCUCAGUUGGAUAGAGUGUCAGCCUCCGAAGCUGAAGGUCGUGGGUUCAAUUCCCGCUGGGCGCGCCA